rnacentral:tRNA from 1 species
GGGCAAGUAUGCAAUGGAGAAAGCAACCUGACUGUAAAUCAGGUGUCGUAUGACAGAGUGAGUGCAACUCUUACCUUGCCCACCA